rnacentral:rRNA from 1 species
AUACGGAGGGGGUUAGCGUUGUUCGGAAUUACUGGGCGUAAAGCGUACGUAGGCGGAUUAGUAAGUUAGGGGUGAAGUCCCGAGGCUCAACCUCGGAACUGCCUCUAAAACUGCUAGUCUUGAGUUCGAGAGAGGUGAGUGGAAUUCCUAGUGUAGAGGUGAAAUUCGUAGAUAUUAGGGGGAACACCAGUGGCGAAGGCGGCUCACUGGCUCGAUACUGACGCUGAGGUACGAAAGUGUGGGGAGCAAACAGGAUUAGAAACCCCGGUAGUCC